CCCCAGCACAACAAAAACAAAGUAUGAUGACAGGCUUUUCUUUGUGAAAAAGCGAGCCAAAUAAAAGCCAGCGACUGAAGGCAGUGGAAGAAACAGUAUGGGAAAUCCCACAACGAUUGCUCCUGCAGCACUGACAAUUACAGUCAAGGCAGUGAAAGCUACAGAGCUGAAAGCAUCAGAAAUCAUACCCAGAGCAUAAGCACCAGCUCCAGCUGCCCCUCCAAGCAUUGUCAGGGUCACAAGAAGAUAAUUCAACGGUGGAGGAACCUGAAUGUACCUCCCAAAUGAAUGGAAAACAACUCUAAUCUCCAAACAGAGCACGGCCACUACCAAUGCAACAGCACCAUUUACAACACGUAUACUAUGAAUCUGAUGCGCAUUCUUAGUAAUCCACCAAAGAGCACCCCUCGUGGAUGCAUAAAGUUGGAACAAGAAAGGGAUGAAAAAGAGAAGAAACAAAUCACAAACAGAUGCAGCCGAAGAAAAUAUUACUGAAUAGUGAGACGCAAUAUGAAACACCAAAGGAAAGAAUAGCAAGUUCAAAGUAUGAAUACAACUCUCGAGAGGAGAGAGGAUGAAAUUAUCAUCAGGAACCUCUCCCCCGUGAUAUUUGGCUUCCUGUUUGGAUUUGAAGGAAGAAACCCGAGGAACUGCAAAAAGCCAAUAGAAAAUGCAAUUGA
rnacentral:misc_RNA from 1 species